rnacentral:rRNA from 1 species
GACGAACGCUGGCGGCGCGCUUAACACAUGCAAGUCGAACGGUAAGGCCCUUCGGGGUACACGAGUGGCGAACGGGUGAGUAACACGUGGGUGAUCUGCCCUGCACUUCGGGAUAAGCCUGGGAAACUGGGUCUAAUACCGGAUAGGACCACUGCCUACAUGGGUGGUGGCGGAAAGCUUUUGCGGUGUGGGAUGGGCCCGCGGCCUAUCAGCUUGUUGGUGGGGUGAUGGCCUACCAAGGCGACGACGGGUAGCCGGCCUGAGAGGGUGACCGGUCACACUGGGACUGAGAUACGGCCCAGACUCCUACGGGAGGCAGCAGUGGGGAAUAUUGCACAAUGGGCGCAAGCCUGAUGCAGCGACGCCGCGUGAGGGAUGACGGCCUUCGGGUUGUAAACCUCUUUCAGCACCGACGAAGCGCAAGUGACGGUAGGUGCAGAAGAAGGACCGGCCAACUACGUGCCAGCCGCCGCUGUAA